rnacentral:rRNA from 1 species
UACGUAGGGUCCGAGCGUUGUCCGGAGUUACUGGGCGUAAAGGGCGCGCAGGCGGCGGUGCUGGCCCGGCGUGAAAGCCCCCGGCUCAACCGGGGAGGGUCGUCGGGGACCGCACCGCUUGAGGGCGGUAGGGGCUGGUGGAAUGCCUGGUGUAGUGGUGAAAUGCGUAGAGAUCAGGCGGAACACCCGUGGCGAAGGCGGCUCUCUGGGACGGUACUGACGCUGAGACGCGAAAGCGUGGGGAGCGAACAGG